GAAAGGAAAUAUUCGGUAAAAGAUGGGCCCGCAUCUGAUUAGCUAGUUGGUGAGAUAAUAGCCCACCAAGGCAACGAUCAGUAGCCGACCUGAGAGGGUGACCGGCCACAUUGGGACUGAGACACGGCCCAAACUCCUACGGGAGGCAGCAGUGGGGAAUAUUGCACAAUGGGCGAAAGCCUGAUGCAGCAACGCCGCGUGAAGGAAGACGGUUUUCGGAUUGUAAACUUCUAUCAAUAGGGAAGAAAGAAAUGACGGUACCUAAAUAAGAAGCCCCGGCUAACUACGUGCCAGCAGCCGCGGUAAUACGUAGGGGGCAAGCGUUAUCCGGAAUUACUGGGUGUAAAGGGAGAGUAGGCGGCAAGGUAAGCGAUAUGUGAAAGCCUUAAGCUUAACUUAAGGGUGGCAUAACGAACUAUCUAGCUAGAGUACAGGAGAGGAAAGCGGAAUUCCUAGUGUAGCGGUGAAAUGCGUAGAUAUUAGGAAGAACACCAGUGGCGAAGGCGGCUUUCUGGACUGAAACUGACGCUGAGGCUCGAAAGCGUGGGGAGCGAACAGGAUUAGAUACCCUGGUAGUCCACGCUGUAAACGAUGAGUGCUAGGUGUCGGGGAGGAAUUCCCG
rnacentral:rRNA from 1 species